rnacentral:sRNA from 1 species
UCAGAUCAAUAUGGAUUUGUUGGAAUC